rnacentral:rRNA from 1 species
AACGAUGAAGCUGGUGCUUGCACUGGUGGAUUAGUGGCGAACGGGUGAGUAACACGUGAGCAACCUGCCCCUGACUCUGGGAUAAGCGCUGGAAACGGCGUCUAAUACCGGAUAUGCACUGUAGCCGCAUGGUUUGCGGUGGGAAAGAUUUAUCGGUUGGGGAUGGGCUCGCGGCCUAUCAGCUUGUUGGUGAGGUAAUGGCUCACCAAGGCGUCGACGGGUAGCCGGCCUGAGAGGGUGACCGGCCACACUGGGACUGAGACACGGCCCAGACUCCUACGGGAGGCAGCAGUGGGGAAUAUUGCACAAUGGGCGCAAGCCUGAUGCAGCAACGCCGCGUGAGGGAUGACGGCCUUCGGGUUGUAAACCUCUUUUAGCAGGGAAGAAGCCUUCGGGUGACGGUACUUGCAGAAAAAGCGCCGGCUAACUACGUGCCAGCAGCCGCGGUAAUACGUAGGGCGCAAGCGUUAUCCGGAAUUAUUGGGCGUAAAGAGCUCGUAGGCGGUUUGUCGCGUCUGCUGUGAAAACUGGAGGCUCAACUUCCAGCGUGCAGUGGGUACGGGCAGACUAGAGUGCGGUAGGGGAGAUUGGAAUUCCUGGUGUAGCGGUGGAAUGCGCAGAUAUCAGGAGGAACACCGAUGGCGAAGGCAGAUCUCUGGGCCGUUACUGACGCUGAGGAGCGAAAGGGUGGGGAGCAAACAGGCUUAGAUACCCUGGUAGUCCACCCCGUAAACGUUGGGAACUAGUUGUGGGGGCCUUUCCACGGUCUCUGUGACGCAGCUAACGCAUUAAGUUCCCCGCCUGGGGAGUACGGCCGCAAGGCUAAAACUCAAAGGAAUUGACGGGGACCCGCACAAGCGGCGGAGCAUGCGGAU